rnacentral:rRNA from 1 species
AUACGGAGGAUCCGAGCGUUAUCCGGAUUUAUUGGGUUUAAAGGGUGCGCAGGCGGGAGAUUAAGUCGGCGGUGAAAUUUUUCAGCUCAACUGUAAAAGGGGCUUCGGAACUGGUUUUCUUUAGUGUAGAUGAAAGAGGCGGGAUUUGUGGUGUUGCGGUGAAAUGCAUAGAUAUCACGAGGAACUCCGAUUGCGCAGGCAGCUUACUAAACUACUACUGACGCUCAGGCACGAAGGCGUGGGGAUCAAACAGGAUUAGAUACCCUGGUAGUCCACGCAGUAAACGAUGAUUACUAGCUGUUUGCGAUACAAUGUAAGCGGCUGAGCGAAAGCGUUAAGUAAUCCACCUGGGGAGUACGUUCGCAAGAAUGAAACUCAAAUGAAUUGACGGGG